rnacentral:rRNA from 1 species
UACGAACCUUCCAAACGUUAUUCGGAAUUACUGGGCUUAAAGGGUGCGUAGGCGGCCCGGUAAGUUGGGUGUGAAAUCCCUCGGCUUAACCGAGGAAUUGCGCCCAAAACUGUCGGGCUCGAGGAAGAUAGAGGUGAGCGGAACUUAGGGUGGAGCGGUGAAAUGCGUUGAUAUCCUAAGGAACACCGGUGGCGAAAGCGGCUCACUGGGUCUUUUCUGACGCUGAGGCACGAAAGCUAGGGGAGCGAAGAGG